UACGUAGGGUGCGAGCGUUAAUCGGAAUUACUGGGCGUAAAGGGUGCGCAGGCGGUCCUGCAAGUCAGGCGUGAAAUCCCCGGGCUUAACCUGGGAAUGGCACUUGAAACUACGGGACUGGAGUAUGGCAGAGGGAGGUGGAAUUCCACGUGUAGCGGUGAAAUGCGUAGAGAUGUGGAGGAACACCGAUGGCGAAGGCAGCCUCCUGGGCCAAUACUGACGCUCAGGCACGAAAGCGUGGGGAGCAAACAGG
rnacentral:rRNA from 1 species